UGGUAAUAGAAGCCUUUGUCUUCGGUGGGCCCGCCCCAGUCCUCCUGGCUCUCGCCCUCUGUGGCGUAGGAGAAACCCUCUUCCACCGAGAAGGGGUCAUCCACGUCGUAGCGCUGAGAUGAGGCUUCACCAUGUUCCCCAGGCUGGUCUCAAGCUCUUGGACUCAAGUGAUCUGCAGGCAUGGGCUACCACGCCUGGCCCGAGUCCCAUUUUCUAUCUUGAAUAGACUGUGAAGGCUCAGGGCCUGGAAGUCUGAGAACCUUGGAGUCCAUAGACCAUGAUAGAAGAAGAAACAGAAGCUGGGAGAGAAUGAGUGACUUACUGGAUCUGAGAAGGAGAGGAAUCAGCUUUUUCUAUGAAAGGAGAGAAGUCUCCUGCAUGUCUGGUCCUUCACAGCUCCCUUCCCCUCCCCCAGGCUGGUUUGUAGAUGAUGCUUACUGCAGUAAAUAUGUGCUCCCAUCUACCAGGGAUGGAAAAUGAUUUGGCUUAACGUUUUAUUGUGAAGAACAUGUACCGAAGUGGAUUGAAUAGGAUCGUGAAUCCCAUGUACUCAUCACCCGCUCCCUCACAUUCCCUCCCCUGGCCCCUUCUCUACAGAUUGGUUUGGAACAAACCCCUUUCAUCAUAGGUUUGAUUUGUGAAUAUUUGAGUAUGUAGCUCUAAAAAACAGUAUAAUCACACCUAAAAUUAAUAAUUAUUUCUUAUUUUUUUCUGAUAUCCAGCAGUAUUAAAAUGUAUCUAAGUCAUUACAUGUGUGGGGAAACCUCUUCACCUUAUGAGGCUACACACGUAUUCCCAUGAUGCCAUCAUUGCUUGAAGUAGUUUCUGGGCACUGGUAACUAAAAGGGUUGCUGGGAAUGGCAUCAUAUUCUUUUGUAACUUCUUACAGAUGGCAAUCUUAUACUUUUUGAGAGUGGAUUUGAUUUUGCCAUAAGCCAGAAGUCAUUUUAAACCAAGCCUCAAGAAUAAGAUGGCAAAUUCAUAAACAAUACUAUUUAUUCUAUUUGGAUAUUUAAUUCUGCUUUACCUUAAAAGCAGAUAACUUAGAACCAUUGCUUUGCAGUUAGACAUCUUAGGGUAAGGAACGAGCGCAGGCGUGAUGGUAAACAUGAGAAGGCCUCGCCUUCGUGCUGCAGCAGGGUCCUGGCGGCUCCUCUGCGGAGCUGGAAUUUUAUUAUGUUUUUAGUUGACGGGUCAUGGUGAGGGUGCCUGGCAUUGGUAGGAAAGUGACUAGUUAGCAAUGUUUCAAUAUUCUGGCUGGGUGUGAUGGUUCACACCUGUAAUCCCAGGACUUUGGGAGGUCGAGGCAGGUGGAUCACCUGAGGUCAGGAGUUUGAGACCAGCCUGGCCAAUAUGGUAAAAUCUUGUUUCUACUAAAAAAAACAAAAAUUAGCCAGUAAUGACAGCAGGCACCUGUGAUCCCAGCUACCUGGGAGGCUGAGACAGAAGAAUUGCUUGAACCCAGGAGUCAGAGGUUGCAGUGAGCUGAUUGCACUCCAGCCUGGGUGACAGAGUAAGACUCCGUCUCUAAAAAAAAAAAAAUAGUGUUUUAAUAUUUUAACAACAGACAUGGUUGGAUUGGGGCACGUGAGCUGCAUGCCUGCCCUGGUCAAAGGUAAUGGUGAUUAGUCCUGUGAAAGUCUGUUUGCAGUGAAGGGAAACAUUCAAAGGGAGGCUUUGCCUUCUUUGCCAGACAGAAGUUCCCCUGUGGAAAACGUGCCUAUGAGAAGUUCAGACUAGACAAGAUGAAGAAUCAGGCCUUUAGCAAUGGAAUGGGCUUUCUCUAUGAUAUUAAACACUUUGUGGUUGUAACGUACUUUAUUUAAAAAAAAAAAGCACUUUCUCAUCCAUCAUUCCAGGGAAGUUAAGAACUGCGUGAUAGAUCAGUGACUGAAAUAGCACUGGGACUCAUAUUUCUUAAUUCUAACCCGAGGGCUAUUCCUGUCCCACUCAGGUGCCUCCAGGGGAGGUUUAGAAAUGCUAAGCCUUUGGGAGGCCUAGGUGGGCAGAUCGCGAGGUCAGGAGUUUGAGACAAGCUUGAUCAACAUGGAGAAACCCUAUCUCUACUGAAAAUACAAAAAUUAGCUGAGUGUGGGGGCACGCACCUGUAAGCCCAGCAGCUCAGUAGGCUUGAACCCAGGAGUCGGAGGAUGCAGUGAGCUGGGAUUGCAUCACUACACUCACUCUAGCCUGGGCGAAAGAGCAAGAAUCCAUCUCAAAAAAAAAAAAAAAAGAAAAGCUAAACUUGCCUUCA